CUGAGCCCUUGUAAUCCACCUGCCUCAGCCUCCAAAAGUGCUGGGAUUACAGGCAUGAGCCACCACACCCAGCCUCAGCAAGGAAAUUUCAAAGCCACUUUAUAUACUAUUAUAGAGAACGCUAGCAUAUAAGAAGAUCUUAUUGGUUAUUGCAGACUAGGUGCUGGUUUUGAAAUUUCUAUGCUGGGAGAGGAGUGUGAGAUCUUCUUCGGCUUAGUCUAUGGUCUUGUGGUGGAGGGUCGGCAAAAUACUGUCGUUCUCCUUGAGUUCUGGGAAUAGGAUCAUAGCCGCAGCAGCAGCAUGAAUUGGACAUGAAAGAAGUGGUCAGCUGCUGCUUAUUAAAGUAUUAGUGUUAAGGGUGCCUCUAAAAGGAAUUUGUACUUUACUUUCUUUCUACCUCUCAUACAAUGAGAACCCAUAUGUAAAUUCAAACCCUUACUAGCAUUAAAAGAGGAAGGAAGCAAGUGCGUUGAGAAAGGAGGGGAGGGAAAUAGAGAUGGUGUAGAUGGCGUAGGGGAUGUUACCCAGCUUGUGGCCUUGGUGGUUGGCAGAAUCCAAGGAGGCCAAGGAAAAACCUUUCUCUUUUUAUUGUGUGAUCUUUAUUCUCUCUUUGGUUGAUAGAGGUUCAGAAAGCUGGUAGGGUUUCUACUUGCGAAGGGACGGGGAGGAUAGGUUGGCCGGGUAGGAAGAAGCCGGACUCUGGAGAGGUUUGAAUACCAGACAUAAUUGGUCUGGAGGAGUUUCUCGGGCAGGGUUCAACCGAAGAAGCGUACCUAUACAUGAAGGGCUCUGUUACAGGAAUUUGAGCAUAUGCAAUUGUGGGAGCUGGGUAAGUAGUCUCUGUAAGGUGUUGUCUUUGUGUCUGAUGCUGAAGUUUGAAGGACAGGACAGGCAGACAGGAAGGGAAGAAGGAUGUAAAGUGGGGGAUAGAUGGAAAAAGUGAGAACCAGCUGGUGCCCAUGGUGAGGGACUAAAACCGAUGUCACUUCCUGUUGCCUCUGACCUGGCUGGUGUGGGUGUCCUGCAGAAACUGGGGCCCUUUGUCAGAGGGCUAACAACAUUCACCUGGCCCAGGUGCAGGUCUAGUUGCAGGUUUAUGCCAACAAGAUGAGCCAGCAGAUAAGCGACAAUGUAUAAGGGCUAUGAAAUGGAUGUUGCUUCACUUCCCACCCCCAAAAUUGCCCCCAAAUCUCUUUUGUGGCCCACCCUAACCAGAAAGGGAAUUCUGGGAAAUGUUGUUUAGACUAGCCAAGUUGACUUAUUACAAAGCCUGGGCAUUGCUAUCUUUUAAAAGCUCCCCACGUGAUCUUCAUGUGCAAUGGUUGAGAACCCGUGACUUAGGUGAUUCUGAGGUGGAGGUUGACAGAGCCUUACCGGCCAUUCUGAAAUGCCCCUCUGCUCCCCUGAGAGGCACUCAUGUAAUGUAGUAGAAAAGAAACAGGGAAAGAUCAAAUACCACAGAGAAUACUGAAGUGUUGAAGCUGUGAGGUGUGUUGCAAUGGGUAAGGAGGAAGUAAGUGAUGAAGCAAUGGAAACCAUGGAUCUAGAGCAUUCUUUUGAGACUAUGUCAGUAAAUGCAAAAAAAAAAAAAAAAAAA